rnacentral:rRNA from 1 species
AUUGAACGCUGGCGGCAUGCUUUACACAUGCAAGUCGAACGGCAGCGCGGGUUUCGGCCUGGCGGCGAGUGGCGAACGGGUGAGUAAUACAUCGGAACGUGCCCAGUAGUGGGGGAUAGCUCGGCGAAAGCCGGAUUAAUACCGCAUACGACCUGAGGGUGAAAGCGGGGGAUCUUCGGACCUCGCGCUUUUGGAGCGGCCGAUGGCAGAUUAGCUAGUUGGUGGGGUAAAGGCCUACCAAGGCGACGAUCUGUAGCUGGUCUGAGAGGACGACCAGCCACACUGGGACUGAGACACGGCCCAGACUCCUACGGGAGGCAGCAGUGGGGAAUUUUGGACAAUGGGCGAAAGCCUGAUCCAGCAAUGCCGCGUGUGUGAUGAAGGCCUUCGGGUUGUAAAGCACUUUUGGCGGGAACGAAAAGGACUGUGCCAAUACCACGGUUCGAUGACGGUACCCGCAGAAUAAGCACCGGCUAACUACGUG